CUGGGAAGGAAGUAGGAGAGAGAACCCAUUGCUGUUUGUUUUCUCUCAAACCCCAGAGCCACCUGCUUUACACAGAAGGACAAAGGGCCCUGAAAUCAACCAGCCACAGACAGGCUCUCCACAAAAACUUUAUGGGCACCCCCUUGGCCAUAGGUGAACUGGCAGUGACAAGAACACCGAACACCAGAGAAAGACCACCAGUGCCUAAGAGCUGGUCCUGCCUUGCUGCCCAGGGAAGUCUCCUCCCACUACUGGCCUUCAGGAACAAGUGCUUAGCCGAGCAUCCCCUGCAGACACAUCACAGAGCCAGGACACGGGGAAGCAAUGUGGCAGUGCGGCAGUGCCCGCUGGCCAUGACAAGAAGAGCUGGCUCUGGGGGAAAGGAAGCCAAGGAAGGCUGCAGAGACGAGAGAGAGGCAAGGAAGAAUGGGUGGGAGGUGGAGGUGGAAAAAGCUCCAAAACCAAGCCAGAAGAUGACACCAUGGAGGUCACUUCAGCCCCUGUGUAUCCCUGUCUGUUAUCCGGAGGGCCACAGAAAAGCCAAAGGAGGCAGAUUUUCAAGACCUUUAUGGAAAGAGAAUGAGGUAAGUGUCUUUUCACUCUCUCUGUGUAUAUAUAAAUAUCAACAUAUGCAUAUCUCCUUUUUCUGUGUCUGAUUAUGCAUUCAAUUUAGCCUGGAUUUAUGGCCUGCUGAUUUUGAUCUAGGCAUUUUGAGAAAGCAGUCUUGGAGGACACCAAUAACUAAGGGACAUCAUUUUUCUGUUGUUGGGGGAGGUCAUCGCAAGAGCCCCAGCUGACCAGCAUACUGGGCCCAGGCGAUCAAAGGCUUCUCAACCCCCAUCCUUGGCAUGUUCUCUCUGCCCACCGUUCCCACAGUGGGAGCUGCUUUCAAGGACACAGCCUUGACAAUAAGGCAUUGUUGAGAAUAUCUAAAUGGCAUAUGUGAGUGAAUCUAGUUCAGGCCUCUGCAUAAACUUUGAGGAUUCCGGCAGGUGAUGCCUUGUUUUGCAGCAUCCAAGACAAGCCCCUUCAGUAGGUUUCCUUGACUGUUAAGGCCACCACCUACC
rnacentral:lncRNA from 12 species